rnacentral:ncRNA from 1 species
CACUGGGGGAGUCUUUGUAAAAGACUGAGACGCGUAUAGAUAUGCGGACCCUUGGAACCUGAUCUGGCUCAUACCAGCGGAGGGAAGUGGAU